UACCGGAAGUUAUUUUUAUUGUUUCCAUUAUUAAAGUAAAACAACCGACCAUAUAAAAGUUUAAACGAAUAAAUUUAAAAUUAAAACCUAUGGAUAUUAGUCAUCACGUGUUUGCAAGAUGUUUUCCCAUGCCUUGCUUUUAAACAAGACAAAUGUAUUGACGAUUGAAGUUAACUUUUUAUAUCUUGGACUGAAAUUAAAUAACUUUCUUACUCGUGAAAGUAUUAUUAAACUUAAUAUCAAUUCAGGUGGUAUGAUAUUGACAAUUGAAUAUGAAAUGCGAUGUCUUUAAGAUAACAAGCUAAAUCAAUAAUCCAUUCACACGAAUAAUUUAAGGAGUAGUUUGUGCAACUUGAAAACAAACUCAGGUAUCUAUUGAGUUGACAUUGGUCACGUAUGAAAUAAAUAUAGCUCUCUGUUGACAAAGUUUCAUCAACUGUGUUCUUGUUCAGAUGCUUUAAACGUGUCAACGUCUGUAAAGAAAUAAAAAUGGAAAUAUUGUGUGACACUUCUUCGAAAACAACUUCUGAUUCGGAAUACGACUAUACAUGUUCCCCUUGUAAUGACGAAGGACUUAACAAAGAGGCUCAGUAUUUUUGCGGAGAAUGUGCCCAGUUUUACUGCAACGAAUGUGAACAAUGGCACAAGAAGAUACGCAAAAGACACGUCGUUUUGGGACGCGAAGACAGUAGGCAAUGGUUGCAGGCGCCUAUUCAAAGUGUAGUUGAAGAUUUAGAACGAUGCAAAAAGCACCCCAACAAGGCACUAGAGUUGUAUUGUGGCGGCCAUGAUGAACUUUGCUGUCAUCUAUGUGUUGCUAAUAACCACAGUGACUGCUACGAAGUAAUGCAUAUCCCAGUCUUAGCGAGAGGAUUCCGCGAAAAACAAGGAGUUUCAGAAACUGCCUUGAGGAGGUAGGAAAAUUAAGGAAUCAUCUCCGCCAAUUUGAGGAGUCAAGGGAGAACAGUAAACAAAGGCUUGAACUAUCUCGUAAUAAAGUACUUGAGGAUGUCAAAGUUUUUCGCGAAAGGAUUAAUGGAAUUAUAGAUAGAAUUGAAGGCAGAACACUUCAAGAAUUGGAUUAAAUGGUACAAUCAAUAGAUAAAGCUCUUUCAAGUGACAUUGGCAUAUGCAAUGCUACGAGUGAUCGUUUGCAAACUUUAAUAGACGAGGUUAAAACAAAAGGCAUUAAAAGUGAAUCUCUUUCGUAUAUUGGAUUCACAAAAUGUAAGAUGCUAAUGUUAGAGGCCAAUGAAAUAUGCAAUGAAAUGACAAAAUUCAUGGACCAUGAAUUAUUCUUAAAAACAGGGUCUAGAAUAGAAAAUAUCUUAUUUUCCAUCGACACAUUUGGAGAUAUAUUCGAUGCAAAUCACGUUUUUAAACUACAGUCGGAGCAGCCCAUUGCAAUAGAUAAAUCUUACAAAGAGUGCAAAAUAACUGGUGCUUGUGAUUUACCUAGCGGGGAAAUUGUCCUUUGUGUUGGUGAGCCAAAUCCUGCAGUAGUAUUACUAGCUCAAACUUAUGAAAUUAUUGCACGCCUGAAUUUUUCUGAUUUUCCUGUAGACGUUUUCAAACUAGAAGUAAAUCAAGUGGUCAUUGCGGUCUCUAUUAGGUAGGGGUUAUGUUUCAUCAAAAUAAAUGAAGGUAAACUUCUAGAGUUCAAAAAGAUAAAAUUUAAAAAUAUAUUUUAUUGCUACGAUGUCGCUCACAGCGACGGCAAACUAUACGUCACUACUGGAACGACCCUCUUGCAGUACAACAUGUCAGGAAAGUAUGUUAAAAAGCUUUACGAACCGGAGAAGUCUUUGAGUAAUGCCAUUAGAAAAUACCGUGACACAAUUGUUAGUAAAUGCGCUGUAAAUGCUGACGGCAGUAGAAUCUUCAUUCUUGAUAAUAUUGAUAGCCAGAUCGUCACGCUCGACCAACACGGCAGUAUCUUAUCAGUGGUAAAAGACGCCACCAUAACGGAAUUGUACGGUAUUUGUGUGUCAACAUUUGGGUAUGUGUUUGUUGCAUGCUCCGAUAUCGUGCUGCAAAUAGACAGGAAUGGACAAAAUGAACUAAUCAAGUAGGCCAAGUUAUUACACUCUCAGAAGCCGGUAUCAUUAUGCUAUGUACAAAACAAUACAGUCUCAUCGAUGGUCAUAAUGGAGUGAAUAAUAAGCAAGUCACGGUGCUCAAACUGAAAUGAGCGUUAACAUUGGUACAUAGUAUAUUCCCUGAAUGUAUUUCUAUUGUGUACUUAUUUAUUUAGACAGUACACUUAAAUAAAGUUGACUAUUAAAAAUCGCACGCGGAGAGUCUGGUUACAUCUGCUGAACUGAAAACUUCUGAAUAAUAAACUGCCGCUGUUCAGUCGUACAUAUCCCUGUCUUAGCUGUUUUAGGAUUUCGCGAAACUGAUGAGUUCAAUAGACUGCCGGACGAGGUUGAAGAACUUAGGAACCAGCUCGAGGAAUUCAGAGAGUCCAGGAAAAGGAGUAAAGAAAAGAUUGAAACGUCUUGGUAUAAAGCACUGAUGGAUAUCAAAGUUCUCCGUGGAAAAAUAAUUGGACAACUGGAUACAGUUGAAAAAAGAACGAUAACAGAAAUGAUCAAAGUAAUGGCGCCGUCAGUUGAAAUUCUGACAAAAGAUGUUGACAAGUGUAACGAUAUGCGCGAUCGUCUUAAAUGUUUUAUAGAUGAGAUUAAGAGCAAUAAAAGUGAAUCUCUUUCGUACGUUGGAUUCACAAAAUGUAAGAGCUUGACGGCAGAGGCGAAUAUCGUAUGCAAGGAAAUGAUAAAAACCAAAGACUUUGAAAUAGUCUUUCAACCAGGGUCCAACGUAGAAACUACCGUUUCCUCCAUUAACACUUUUGGAGCAAUAUUUGAUGUGAAUCAUGUUUUUACGGUUCACUCAAAAAAGUCCAUAACAAUGGACAUCUUUAGAAGAGGGUUCACAACAACUGGUGUUUGUGAAAUGCCUAACGGAAAUCUUGUCGUUUGUAAUAGAAACCCUUACCGCGAAAUUGUCUUGCUAGCUCAAAACUUUAAAGCUGUAACACGCCUCCAAUUUCCCGAAUAUCCUGAAGCCAUUUGUAACAUUGGAGAAAAUAAAUAAGUUGGCGGUUGCUAUAACAAGUGAAAUGGGUUUACGUUUAAUCCAAGUAACUGAAGGAAAACUUCUACAGACUAAUAGUGUUCGUUUUGAUCACUCAUGCCUCAGUGUCGCUCACAAUGAUAAUCAUCUCUACGUCUCAUCUGAAGCGGCUCUCUAUCAGUACACAAAGACUGGCCAAUUGGUCAAACAGUUGUACAAUACAGGGAAUGCAAAAAGGUGGGACAUGAACGUUCUUAAAUGCGCUCUAAACCAUGACGGAAGUAAAAUAUUCAUUCUUAAUAAAAUGGCUAACAAGAUCCUUACACUCGACCGAGACGGAAAUAUUUUAUCAGCGAUAAAAGAUUCAGAUAUAAGCGAACCAUGUGGAAUUUGUGUGUCAUCAUUUAGAUAUGUGUUUGUUGCCUGCUGAAAGUGUGUGGUGCAAAUUGACAGGAAUGGGCAAAAGAAACUGACCAGGUUGUUCGAGAUUUCGCCAAAUUGCAUGGUGACGUCGCUGCGCCACGUAACGAACACAAACAGUCUGAUCAUGGGUCUAAGCGGACAUAUCGAGAAGGGAAUAGCUGUACUCGAACUGAAGUAAAUAUCGCCAUUGUUACACACUUUGUUUAUUUUAUAUAACAUAUGCAGCAAUGUAUUUUUCGUUUAGACACAACACUUGUCUUUUAGUGAAUUGUUCUGGUGUGUCAUUUCCCAGGUUGCAACUUUUUGAGUGGAAACACGAUCAGCACCUACAUCCUUGAUAAGCUAUGAUGAAGUCUUUUUUUUCCUUUUCACACUGCAAUAAGUUUAAACAUCAUUGUUCGGCUAGUGAACACAAACUUUUUUUUCUUUUUAUCGUGAGUUAUUUUGUAUUACAUCAAAAGGUUUUUUCGACUGUGUAUUGUUUUGGCUACUCAUAUCGUUUUUUUUAAAUAAGUUAUAUUAGAAAUCAACUACUAUUUUGCUUGUUGUUCUCUUUUUUGCCAUUGUUAAAUAUUAUUUGUUCUUUUAACUAUAAUCAUUUAUAAUCAUCAAACAAAAUAAGCAUCAGACUAUAUUUUUUUAUUGUAACACUUUGCUGAAUUAAUAUAAACUUACAUUAAUAUAAUAAGGAAGUAACAAAAAUUUGUGUGUGUGUUUGAACUAACUAUUUCCAGUAAUUCUAUCUAAUCAUUAGCGGUUCCAGAGGGGAGGCGCAUCCCGAAACUCGUCCAAGUUUACUUUUUAUUUCAAAACAGGAGUAAAAAGUAAUAAAAUACGCCCAAAAUUAACCAUUUUGGACUAGAAACUGCAAAAUAUUUCUAGGGGGAGUACCCCCGCCAACAUUUUAUUCCCAAUGUUAUUGUUCGAUUGCUUCUACAUUCAAUUAACUGAAUGUGCAUAGACUGCAAUCGAUAAGUUUAAAUUUAUGGAGUAUUUUUAUUCUCAUUAGAAAUUUAUAAUGAAAAGUACACAUUGUUGAUUUGUAUUUAUUACCGUAUAGUUUGUUCAAAUCUAGUUGUUCAUUUUCAAUUGACGGAUGGCGCCAUCUUUGAUUAAUUUCAUCUUUGUUUGUUCUGGCACCGAGCGAAUAAGACUCUGAUAUGAUAUGAAUUCAUUACCAUUUAUAUUGUAAAGAUACCUCGCUUGGUAAUAGUCACAAAAAUUGUUUGUUCUAUAGUGAAAUAUACGUUUAAGAUACUUAAUGCCCUUUUCAAACAAUUUGUUAUAGAAUAAUGUAUGGUUUAUGUUACAAAUAUUUUAUUGUUACA